UACGGAGGGGGCUAGCGUUGUUCGGAAUUACUGGGCGUAAAGCGCGCGUAGGCGGAUCUGCAAGUCGGGGGUGAAAUCCCGAGGCUCAACCUCGGAACUGCCUUCGAUACUGCGGGUCUCGAGUCCGGGAGAGGUGAGUGGAAUUCCUAGUGUAGAGGUGAAAUUCGUAGAUAUUAGGAAGAACACCAGUGGCGAAGGCGGCUCACUGGCCCGGGACUGACGCUGAGGCGCGAAAGCGUGGGGAGCAAACAGG
rnacentral:rRNA from 1 species